rnacentral:rRNA from 1 species
GUAGUCAUAUGCUUGUCUCAAAGAUUAAGCCAUGCAUGUCUAAGUAUAAGCAAUUUAUACAGUGAAACUGCGAAUGGCUCAUUAAAUCAGUUAUCGUUUAUUUGAUAGUUCCUUUACUACAUGGUAUAACUGUGGUAAUUCUAGAGCUAAUACAUGCUUAAAAUCCCGACCUUUUGGAAGGGAUGUAUUUAUUAGAUAAAAAAUCAAUGUCUUCGGACUCUUUGAUGAUUCAUAAUAACUUUUCGAAUCGCAUGGCCUUGUGCCGGCGAUGGUUCAUUCAAAUUUCUGCCCUAUCAACUUUCGAUGGUAGGAUAGUGGCCUACCAUGGUUUCAACGGGUAACGGGGAAU